rnacentral:rRNA from 1 species
GACGAACGCUGGCGGCGUGCUUAACACAUGCAAGUCGAACGAUGAGGCUGGAGCUUGCUCCGGUGGAUUAGUGGCGAACGGGUGAGUAACACGUGAGUAAUCUGCCCUUGACUCUGGGAUAACUGCGGGAAACUGUAGCUAAUACCGGAUACGACACCUUCGGGCAUCCGAUGGGUGUGGAAAGAAUUUCGGUCAAGGAUGAACUCGCGGCCUAUCAGCUAGUUGGUGAGGUAAUGGCUCACCAAGGCGACGACGGGUAGCCGGCCUGAGAGGUUGACCGGCCAAACUGGGACGGAGACACGGCCCAGACUCCUACGGGAGGCAGCAGUGGGGAAUAUUGCACAAUGGGCGAAAGCCUGAUGCAGCAACGCCGCGUGAGGGAUGAAGGCCUUCGGGUUGUAAACCUCUUUUAGUUGGGAAGAAGCGAAAGUGACGGUACCAACAGAAAAAGCACCGGCUAACUACGUGCCAGCCGCCGCGGUAA